rnacentral:lncRNA from 1 species
UAUAAAAGGAAGAGAGAAAGGUUCUCUAUUGUGCAUGAGAGAAUUGAGAAGAAAGGGUUCUUCUCUUGAUCUAGAUCGUAGAGAUCUGAUACAUGGAUAUAAGAAGAAAAGGAGAGGAUCUUUUUAUUCUUCAUUGGUGUCUUCAUGAGCUAGCACUUUUGGGGUCACGAUCAGCACAUGGGCUUCAUUUGGAUACCUAUAG